rnacentral:rRNA from 1 species
AGGCUGCAACUCGCCUACAUGAAGUCGGAAUUGCUAGUAAUCGCGGAUCAGCAUGCCGCGGUGAAUACGUUCCCGGGCCUUGUACACACCGCCCGUCACUCCAUGGGAGUCGGUAACACCCGAAGCCUGUAGUCUAACCGCAAGGGGGACGCAGUCGAAGGUGGGAUUGAUGACUGGGGUGAAGUCGUAACAAGGUAGC